UCUGUGGGCGGAAGCAGGGAUUUCUAAAGCUGGAGCAGAGAAGAUGAGGAGCUCCUGCCGUACCUGAAUCCUCCCCUGCCAUCACUGUCUGUGUUCUGACCUGUGAACCAAAAUAAAGCCUCCUCCCCUAAGGCAUCGACCAUCACGGCGAUGCGAAGGUCUCCAGAUAUUAUAGAAUUGAAGUAUUGAAGAUACCCCUCUUUCCUCAAGCUAAAUGCAUC